rnacentral:rRNA from 1 species
AAAUUGAAGAGUUUGAUCAUGGCUCAGAUUGAACGCUGGCGGCAGGCCUAACACAUGCAAGUCGAGCGGUAGCACAGAGAGCUUGCUCUCGGGUGACGAGCGGCGGACGGGUGAGUAAUGUCUGGGAAACUGCCUGAUGGAGGGGAUAACUACUGGAAACGGUAGCUAAUACCGCAUAAUGUCGCAAGACCAAAGUAGGGGACCUUCGGGCCUCAUGCCAUCAGAUGUGCCCAGAUGGGAUUAGCUAGUAGGUGGGGUAACGGCUCACCUAGGCGACGAUCCUAGCUGGUCUGAGAGGAUGACCAGCCACACUGGAACUGAGACACGGUCCAGACUCCUACGGGAGGCAGCAGUGGGGAAUAUUGCACAAUGGGCGCAAGCCUGAUGCAGCCAUGCCGCGUGUGUGAAGAAGGCCUUCGGGUUGUAAAGCACUUUCAGCGGGGAGGAAGGCGUUAAGGUUAAUAACCUUGGCGAUUGACGUUACCCGCAGAAGAAGCACCGGCUAACUCCGUGCCAGCAGCCGCGGUAAUACGGAGGGUGCAAGCGUUAAUCGGAAUUACUGGGCGUAAAGCGCACGCAGGCGGUCUGUCAAGUCGGAUGUGAAAUCCCGGGCUCAACCUGGGAACUGCAUUCGAAACUGGCAGGCUAGAGUCUUGUAGAGGGGGUAGAAUUCCGGUGUAGCGGUGAAAUGCGUAGAGAUCUGGAGGAAUACCGGUGGCGAAGGCGGCCCCUGGACAAAGACUGACGCUCAGGUGCGAAAGCGUGGGGAGCAAACAGGAUUAGAUACCCUGGUAGUCCACGCCGUAAACGAUGUCGAUUUGGAGGUUGUGCCCUUGAGGCGUGGCUUCCGGAGCUAACGCGUUAAAUCGACCGCCUGGGGAGUACGGCCGCAAGGUUAAAACUCAAAUGAAUUGACGGGGCCCGCACAAGCGGUGGAGCAUGUGGUUUAAUUCGAUGCAACGCGAAGAACCUUACCUGGUCUUGACAUCCACAGAACUUUCCAGAGAUGGAUUGGUGCCUUCGGGAACUGUGAGACAGGUGCUGCAUGGCUGUCGUCAGCUCGUGUUGUGAAAUGUUGGGUUAAGUCCCGCAACGAGCGCAACCCUUAUCCUUUGUUGCCAGCGGUUAGGCCGGGAACUCAAAGGAGACUGCCAGUGAUAAACUGGAGGAAGGUGGGGAUGACGUCAAGUCAUCAUGGCCCUUACGACCAGGGCUACACACGUGCUACAAUGGCAUAUACAAAGAGAAGCGACCUCGCGAGAGCAAGCGGACCUCAUAAAGUAUGUCGUAGUCCGGAUUGGAGUCUGCAACUCGACUCCAUGAAGUCGGAAUCGCUAGUAAUCGUAGAUCAGAAUGCUACGGUGAAUACGUUCCCGGGCCUUGUACACACCGCCCGUCACACCAUGGGAGUGGGUUGCAAAAGAAGUAGGUAGCUUAACCUUCGGGAGGGCGCUUACCACUUUGUGAUUCAUGACUGGGGUGAAGUCGUAACAAGGUAACCGUAGGGGAACCUGCGGUUGGAUCACCUCCUUA